ensembl:lncRNA
AGAGAGAGAGGAGCGCGCGCGCGCGCGCGCUAACAGCACACAUAACGGUUCAUGUCCAUUUUCCCUCUCGUGCGCCGUGCGCGCGGCUCCCUCAAACAGCACGCGCUGAAUUUCACAAUUUCACAUCCAUAACGUCCUUCUACCGGUCUUAACGGAUCUUUCUUUUACACUCACUAUAAAACUGUACGUGUAAUGGAUCAUUCCGUGACCCGAGGUGUCAAAACUAUAUCUUAAGAGGUGUUCAUUCGAGACGUCAAGAUUAGAGACCAUAAUAUAAUCCUGUACGUGUCAACAUCAUGUGUGUUCAGACAUGAGCUCGAGUCGAACGGUUAACCCUUGGAGGAAAAAAAACGGCGUACGUGACCCGUGACCCGGAAUAUCGUCUUUGUAAACGAGUAAAUACAGUGUUUAUUCGGUGAAAAUGGCUUAACGCAGGCGACACACUCUCACUGUUGUCUCAUAAUGCAGAAGGAUGAGUGCGUAAGGAUCGGCCUUGAGAAGGAGACCUGGGUGACACCUUUAAGCCG